AGCUUGCUGCUUCGCUGACGAGUGGCGGACGGGUGAGUAAUGUCUGGGAAACUGCCUGAUGGAGGGGGAUAACUACUGGAAACGGUAGCUAAUACCGCAUAACGUCCCAAGACCAAAGAGGGGGACCUUCUGGCCUCUUGCCAUCGGAUGUGCCCAGAUGGGAUUAGCUAGUAGGUGGGGUAACGGCUCACCUAGGCGACGAUCCCUAGCUGGUCUGAGAGGAUGACCAGCCACACUGGAACUGAGACACGGUCCAGACUCCUACGGGAGGCAGCAGUGGGGAAUAUUGCACAAUGGGCGCAAGCCUGAUGCAUCCAUGCCGCGUGUAUGAAGAAGGCCUUCGGGUUGUAAAGUACUUUCAGCGGGGAGGAAGGGAGUAAAGUUAAUACCUUUGCUCAUUGACGUUACCCGCAGAAGAAGCACCGGCUAACUCCGUGCCAGCAGCCGCGGUAAUACUGAGGGUGCAAGCGUUAAUCGGAAUUACUGGGCGUAAAGCGCACGCAAGCGGUUUGUUAAGUCAGAUGUGAAAUCCCCGGGCUCAACCUGGGAACUGCAUCUGAUACUGGCAAGCUUGAGUCUCGUACAGGGGGGUAGAAUUCCAGGUGUAUCGGUGAAAUGCCUAAAGAUCUGGAGGAAUACCGGUGGCGAAGGCUGCCCCCUGGACGAAGACUGACGCUCAGUGCGAAAGCGUGGGGAGCAAACAGGA
rnacentral:rRNA from 1 species